rnacentral:rRNA from 1 species
AUUGAACGCUGGCGGCAUGCUUUACACAUGCAAGUCGAACGGUAACAGGCCUUCGGGUGCUGACGAGUGGCGAACGGGGGAGUAAUGCAUCGGAACGUGCCCAGAGGUGGGGGAUAACGCAGCGAAAGCUGUGCUAAUACCGCAUGUGAUCUGAGGAUGAAAGCGGGGGACCAGGCAGCAAUGUUUGGCCUCGCGCCUUUGGAGCGGCCGAUGUCGGAUUAGGUAGUUGGUGGGGUAAAGGCCUACCAAGCCGACGAUCUGUAGCUGGUCUGAGAGGACGACCAGCCACACUGGGACUGAGACACGGCCCAGACUCCUACGGGAGGCAGCAGUAGGGAAUUUUGGACAAUGGGCGCAAGCCUGAUCCAGCAAUGCCGCGUGCGGGAAGAAGGCCUUCGGGUUGUAAACCGCUUUUGUACGGAACGAAAAGGCUCUGGCUAAUACCUGGGGCUGAUGACGGUACCGUAAGAGUAAGCACCGGCUAACUACGUG